CACGUAGUUAGCCGGGGCUUCUUAGUCAGGUACCGUCAUUUCUUUCUUCCCUGCUGAUAGAGCUUUACAUACCGAAAUACUUCUUCACUCACGCGGCGUCGCUGGAUCAGGGGUUCCCCCCAUUGUCCAAUAUUCCCCACUGCUGCCUCCCGUAGGAGUUUGGGCCGUGUCUCAGUCCCAAUGUGGCCGUUCACCCUCUCAGGCCGGCUACUGAUCGUUGCCUUGGUGGGCCGUUACCCCGCCAACAAGCUAAUCAGACGCGGGUCCAUCUUACACCACCGGAGUUUUCAAGUAAAAGACAUGCGUCUCCUACUGUUAUGCGGUAUUAGCACCUAUUUCUAAGUGUUAUCCCCCAGUGCAAGGCAGGUUACCCACGCGUUACUCACCCGUCCGCCACUAAGAUAGCAACAUCUCCGCUCUUAGUAAACUAAUCGCUUCGAAAAUGAUAUCUCCGUUCGACUUGCAUGUGUUAAGCACGCCGCCAGCGUUCAUCCUGAGCCAGGAUCAAACUCU
rnacentral:rRNA from 1 species